GAUGAACGCUGGCGGCGUGCUUAACACAUGCAAGUCGAACGAAGCAUUUAAGACAGAUUACUUCGGUUUGAAGUCUUUUAUGACUGAGUGGCGGACGGGUGAGUAACGCGUGGGUAACCUGCCUCAUACAGGGGGAUAGCAGCUGGAAACGGCUGGUAAUACCGCAUAAGCGCACGGUAUCGCAUGAUACAGUGUGAAAAACUCCGGUGGUAUGAGAUGGACCCGCGUCUGAUUAGCUGGUUGGUGAGGUAACGGCCCACCAAGGCGACGAUCAGUAGCCGACCUGAGAGGGUGACCGGCCACAUUGGGACUGAGACACGGCCCAGACUCCUACGGGAGGCAGCAGUGGGGAAUAUUGCACAAUGGAGGAAACUCUGAUGCAGCGACGCCGCGUGAGUGAAGAAGUAGUUCGCUAUGUAAAGCUCUAUCAGCAGGGAAGAUAGUGACGGUACCUGACUAAGAAGCUCCGGC
rnacentral:rRNA from 1 species